AGGGCAUCUGUAAAGAAUAGUUUAGCACAAC
rnacentral:piRNA from 1 species